AAUAAACUCUGAGUUUUCGUGUCCAACGUUUAACCAUCCGUCUUAUUUAAAAAAAAUUAUAAAAAAAAUUAAAAAGACAAGUCACGCAUAAAGUAUUAAUCAUGUUUUAUCAUCUAACAAUAAUAAAAAUACUAAUUAUAAAAAAAUUUCAUAUAAGACAGACAAUCAAACGUUGGACAUGAAAACCAGGUUUAUU
rnacentral:pre_miRNA from 1 species